AAAAAACUUAUGUAUGGAAGAUCCAGUUAAUGUAUAGUAGAAACAUAGUAGAGACAAUUCACACUUUUUCAUUCCUACAAAAUAAAACUCCACAAAGAAAAGCAAAAGACCAUAGAGCCUAAUUUCUAGAUAUAUUUCAAUGGGUUUCACAAAAAGCUGGAUAAAUGUUUUUCUUAUAAUAGCAUUGACAAUUUCGCUUUCCUAUAGUAAUGUUUUGGCUGAGUCAGUGAUUGAGCCAGAAAAAUUUGGUACUUGCAUUUUUCAAUGUGGAGGUAUAUUGGAUGAUCAUGCAUGCGUCCAUGACUGUAUUAUGUCACAUGAUCGCCCUGGACGAUGUGUUGGAAAUCCUCCAUGUUGCCGCUGCUUCAUAUGAUAUUAAAAUGAACUAGUUAUGUGUUUAAGAAAAGAACGUUAUGCGUUUAAACAUAUAACUUGAUCUUUAGUUAUGCGUUUCUUGUAUGGUAUAUUUUAAAAAAUAAAAUGAACUUUUUUAAUC